AUUCUGCCCAUGCGGGGAAGGAUGAGAAGCUUCGACCAAGGUUCGACUCGAGCGCCAGCGAGAGAGCGUUGCCGCAGGCAACGACCCGAAGGGCGAAGCGCGCAGCGCUGAGU
rnacentral:sRNA from 1 species